rnacentral:lncRNA from 1 species
UUUUUUUCUUCUAAAUUUGUUUGUAUAUAAAUAUGCAAAAACACGGAUAUUACAUUAAAGAUCAUAUCGGGUUAAAGCACCCAGACUAGGAAAAACAAUUGCCUAACCUAAUUGAAAUCAUCCUCACAACCCGACCCGAGGUUAGGCAACAUUUAGCUUAACUAAAAAUUAGCUAUAAAAAUAAAACCCACGUGAGCCUCAAAAUUAGCCUGAUUAGUACCCCACGUGUGAAUCCAACGAAAGACAUCAGCAUUUUAAAAUUGGGUGGACCCCAAUUGUGUUUUCCAAGAACAGCAACACACUGCCCAGUGCAGCCACCGUCCGGCGAAAGAACAGAACAGCAAAACAACCACCGACAGAUAAAGCGGCAACGAACCACCAUGAAAGCUGGCAGCAUAAUCGGAGUAACACAGAUCCAGACAGCAAACCAGCUACUCAUAUCAAGACCAAAAUGAGAAAGGAACCAGAAUCCGGCUAAACAAACCAAUCGAAAUUGGCAAUGAACAUCCAAAUCUAAAAUUUAAAAAUAAACUAUAGAAGCAAGCACUCAGAUUCGAAGAACACACGGUAACCAUAUGCUUAAAACAGAGCUAAGAUGGAAUAACCGGCCCCAAAAUAGGACCAAAUCAAAACACACUAACUGAUUUAAUCGGAGAAAAUUAAUAAGUGAAAGCACAAGAAUCAGUUAGGAACAACAAAAAAUUGGUACUAUUACAACCAAGAAUUCCAAAUCUAAGCAAUACAAAUAAAGCAAUAAGAACUGCUUGAACCCAGAUCGGAACAAACAAACGCUAGAAUCAUAGGACCCCAAACCCUAGAAUUCGGUAGGCCAAUUCAAGGUCUAAUAACGGAAUCAUCAGACCUGUAAACCAUCAUCCAAAGCUAGAAAUACAUCAUUAAGAAGCCAACCAUGUUUGAGCCAACCAAACCGGAGCCAACCGCCAUCGAAACCCCCAAACAAGAUCAAAACAUAAUGCCUAACCAUCAGAGCUCCCCCUACAAGGCUAAUCGUAGAAAACCAUAACCAUCAAACCCUCGGCCUCGGCAACAGGUCGGUCGGAAAGGGAGCUGUUCGGAAAGUUCUUGUUUGGGCAACCAAGUUAACCAUAUUAAAUAAUAGAAAGAAAUCAACCAAAUAAAAUAUAUUUAACUUCACAAUUAUAAAAUG